UCUCCUCAAGGACAAUUUCCCCAACCUUUUUGGAACCAAGGCCCCGGCCCUCUGCUGACAAGGUUCCCUAGUACAGCCUCCACUUCCCCCAAGCCCCUACUCCUGAUUUCUCAGAUUUCCUUCCCUGAAAUCGGGGAGCUCCAUCCUGGAAUGGGAGCUGUCCACACUGCGAGGAAGUGCGCCUCCUCCAUGGCUUCCCCUGUUCUGAAGAUGGCCUGGUCUCCUUGGACGGAGCCUGCUCCAGUUCCUGUUUGCUCAAGUGUAGUCCUGCUGCAAUGUCUGCAGUCAGCCUAUUCUGACUGUAGGAGGACGGGGGACUGAGGGCAGUCUGGGCAGUUCCAGACUCCUACCCUGCCCUAGUGCCUAGCUAUGGAAACAUCCUGUCCCAGCCCAGUUAAAGACAGAAAUACUGUGAUAAAUUUGGAAAUGUCAUCUGGUCUUGCCAAAGGGGAGAGAUUCCUGGUUCUAGGGUACUCCUCACAGACCCUCAGUCUCCUCUAGAGGUGUUCUGGGUGAGAAAAAUCUAAAAACUGUGUCAUGCUCAAUUCAGCCUUUUGAGUGCCGGGGUCUCUUUGGAGACUUUUUGGGGAAGCCCUGUCUCUUUGUCGAGGCCUAUGGAGCCUCUGCUUCCGCCAGGGUCAGUGGGGCUGGGGGGUUGGGAAGGAAAGAAAGGCCCCUUCUUUCUUGGAUCACUUCCUCUGUUUUCUUCCGGCAUACCCCUAGUCUCAGUUCCUCCGACGCUGCAAAUUUCUGUCUCAUUUUCAUUCAUCCCGGUGUUUGCCAUUCUUCCUCAAAACUUUCCCUUCCUGUCGCUAGAGCUGUGUUUCCCGGCCCCACCCACCCACACACCUGCCUCCUGAAGGACUUUGCUGACCCCUAUAUUUUUCUGAUACUAUAAUGGAAGCUUCUUAAGGGGCUGGGGAUUUAGCUCAGUGGUAGAGCGCUUACCUAGGAAGCGCAAGGCCCUGGGUUCGGUCCCCAGCUCCG
rnacentral:lncRNA from 1 species